rnacentral:rRNA from 1 species
AUUGAACGCUGGCGGCAGGCCUAACACAUGCAAGUCGAACGAGUGGCGGACGGGUGAGUAAUGUCUGGGAAACUGCCUGAUGGAGGGGGAAAACUAAUGGAAACGGUAGCUAAUACCGCAUAACAUCAGAUGUGCCCAGAUGGGAGUAGCUAGUUGGUGGGGUAAAGGCUCACCAAGGGGACGAUCCAUAGCUGGGCUGAGAGGAUGACCAGCCACACUGGAACUGAGACACGGUCCAGACUCCUACGUGAGGCAGCAGUGGGGAAUAUUGCACAAUGGGCGCAAGCCUGAUGCAGCCAUGCCGCGUGUAUGAAGAAGGCCUUCGGGUCGUAAAGUACUUUCAGCGGGGAGGCGUUACCCGCAGAAGAAGCACCGGCUAACUCCGUGCCAGCAGCCGCGGUAAUUC